GACGGACGCUGGCGGCGUGCUUAACACAUGCAAGUCGAACGGAAAGGCCCCAGCUUGCUGGGGUACUCGAGUGGCGAACGGGUGAGUAACACGUGGGUGAUCUGCCCUGCACUCUGGGAUAAGCCUGGGAAACUGGGUCUAAUACCGGAUAGGACCGUGCUUUAGUGUGUGCGGUGGAAAGUUUUUCGGUGCAGGAUGAGCCCGCGGCCUAUCAGCUUGUUGGUGGGGUAAUGGCCUACCAAGGCGGCGACGGGUAGCCGGCCUGAGAGGGUGUACGGCCACAUUGGGACUGAGACACGGACCAGACUCCUACGGGAGGCAGCAGUGGGGAAUAUUGCACAAUGGGCGCAAGCCUGAUGCAGCGACGCCGCGUGGGGGAUGACGGCCUUCGGGUUGUAAACCCCUUUCGGCAGGGACGAAGCUUUUGUGACGGUACCUGAAUAAGAAGCACCGGCUAACUACGUG
rnacentral:rRNA from 1 species